CAGGGUUUGGAUGUGGCCAAGGGUGGUGCCGUUCGUGUGAGAGUACCCUAUGAGGGCCCCACACCUGGAGUUGUUCGCGCUGUUGCACACGAAUUUCGCCUCCGGUUGGGCCUCUACGCUCGCCACCGCCGCGAUUGCAAGCACCGCUACAACCCUCGCCAUCCAAACAAACCCCAUUUUCUUCUACUGUGGCUCAAGGAGAGGGUUUUCCAAACUUUAUAAAGAUAAGAAAAAUAUUGAACAGAAAGGGACGUGAGUGGAGUUAUCUGCUACGCAAACGCGCGUUUCCAGUUUCCCUUGUCAGGAAGUCGCCUAAGAUGAAAGAAUGAAAACGACAGAAACACAAAGAAACAAGGAAAGUUAGUAUGAAACCAGAAUCUCUGGUGCCAGACUUUAUGGUGGGUUCUGUUGUGUCCAGUACGUUCAUUUUUAAUUUAAUGGUAUAUCUCAUUUUUUAAAUUUUAA